AUCCCAUGGUGGGGACAUUUCCUUUGCAGCUCCUUGAAUCUUUCCCACACAUCAUAAAGAGAUUCCCCAGCUAGUUGAUAAAAAUGAUUAAUUUCACCCCUCAACCU